UGGGGAAUCUUGCACAAUGGGGGAAACCCUGAUGCAGCGACGCCGCGUGAACGAUGAAGCCCUUCGGGGUGUAAAGUUCUUUCGACAGGAACGAUAAUGACGGUACCUGGAGAAGAAGCUGCGGCUAACUACGUGCCAGCAGCCGCGGUAAUACGUAGGCAGCGAGCGUUGUUCGGAGUUACUGGGCGUAAAGAGUGCGUAGGCGGCGAGCCAAGUUUGGUGUGAAAUCUCCCGGCUUAACCGGGAGGGUGCGCCGAAAACUGGUUGGCUGGAGUAUGGAGAGNAAAGCGGACUUCCUGGUGUAGCGGUGAAAUGCGUAGAUAUCAGGAGGAACACCUGCGGUGUAGACAUCUUUCUGGACCAAAACUGACGCUGAGGCACGAAAGCGUGGGUAGC
rnacentral:rRNA from 1 species